GAGGAAAAUAUAAAAUGGCAAACACACGACGGACGUCCCUCGAGGCUGCAGGCUACCUUUACGUAGGAUCAAGAGAGACUUCAGAGAGGGAUGAGGGCGUCGUAAGCAGAGACGGAGAGAAGGGAGGUCUAGAGCAGGACCCUGAGCAUAGGACGGGGAUGGCAGCACGAGGGUGGCAUAGGGUGGUCCUGGGUACCCCAGCCCGGGGAUAACCUUGUUAGCGCUAAUGACGGGCUCUGCCACGAGCUGCGCGAGCCAAGUCAGGGCCGUAGCGCGUUUGUGACUCUUUGAGGGCUCCACCCCUUUGUGCGGGGCUUGACUUCCUAACUACAAUUUGGGCUGAUGUUGGACUCGCCGGUAUCCCAGCAUUACAACAAGACAUUACGUGGAAAAGUAAUGAUCUAAGAACAAACAAUAGCUUGGGGUGUAAAAUGGCUGAGAGAAGAAAGGGCUCCCAGAUAGCACAAGGUAAAGAGCAUAGU